AUUCCUACGGGACGCAGCAGUGGGGAAUAUUGCACAAUGGGGGAAACCCUGAUGCAGCGAUGCCGCGUGGAGGAAGAAGGUUUUCGGAUUGUAAACUCCUUUUAUCAGGGACGGUAAUGACGGUACCUGAAGAAAAAGCUCCGGCUAACUACGUGCCAGCAGCCGCGGUAAUACGUAGGGGGCAAGCGUUAUCCGGAUUUACUGGGUGUAAAGGGUGCGUAGGUGGCAGGGCAAGUCAGAUGUGAAAGCCCGGGGCUCAACCCCGGUACUGCAUUUGAAACUGUCCAGCUGGAGUGCAGGAGAGG
rnacentral:rRNA from 1 species